UGUAACUCCUGAGCUCCUCCAAAGCACUGAGCUGGCUGCAAUGAUGAGGAUGAUGAUAGCAACAGUGAUGUGUGGCAGGUGAGGGUGGGCCCUACCCUGGGAAGUGUUAAAAACACUGCCCUCUCAUUCCCAAGCUGCCCUUUGUUGUUGGAGGUGCUAUGCACAUUGAAGAGGGUAUUCAGGAUCUGGUCAAGGUGGGAAGACAGCACAGUCCAAAUGUUGGCCUGAGCACCCCACAUAGCCCUGCAAAGAGAAAAGGGCCUGUCCAGAUUAAACCAGGUUUUACUCCAUUAUGAAUUCUCAAGCAAAUCAAGAGCAAGUGAAGAUACAAUAGAAAAGGAAGCAGUACUAGGACCACUGCUCAGGGAGUCAGAC